rnacentral:rRNA from 1 species
AGAGUUUGAUCAUGGCUCAGGAUGAACGCUGGCGGCGUGCUUAACACAUGCAAGUCGAACGGAGUGCUCAUGACGGAGGAUUCGUCCAACGGAUUGAGUUACUUAGUGGCGGACGGGUGAGUAACGCGUGAGGAACCUGCCUCGGAGUGGGGAAUAACAGCCCGAAAGGGUUGCUAAUACCGCAUGAUGCAGUUGGGUCGCAUGACUCUGACUGCCAAAGAUUUAUCGCUCUGAGAUGGCCUCGCGUCUGAUUAGCUAGUUGGCGGGGUAACGGCCCACCAAGGCGACGAUCAGUAGCCGGACUGAGAGGUUGACCGGCCACAUUGGGACUGAGACACGGCCCAGACUCCUACGGGAGGCAGCAGUGGGGAAUAUUGGGCAAUGGGCGCAAGCCUGACCCAGCAACGCCGCGUGAAGGAUGAAGGCUUUCGGGUUGUAAACUUCUUUUAUCAGGGACGAAACAAAUGACGGUACCUGAUGAAUAAGCCACGGCUAACUACGUGCCAGCAGCCGCGGUAAUACGUAGGUGGCAAGCGUUAUCCGG